GCGGAUGUGGCGGAACUGGCAGACGCGCUAGAUUCAGGUUCUAGUGGUAGCAAUACCGUGUGGGUUCAAGUCCCUUCAUCCGCACCA
rnacentral:tRNA from 1 species